GAUGAACGCUGGCGGCGUGCCUAAUACAUGCAAGUCGAGCGAACGGACGAGACGCUUGCUUCUCUGAUGUUAGCGGCGGACGGGUGAGUAACACGUGUAUAACCUACCUAUCAUACUGGGAUCACUUCGGGACACCGGAGCUAAUACCGUAUAAUAUUUUGAACCGCAUGGUUCAAUAGUGAAAGACGGUCUUUCUGUCACUUAUAGCUGGAUCCGCGCUGCAUUAGCUAGUUGGUAAGGUAACGGCUUACCAAGGCAACGAUGCAUAGCCGACCUGCGAGAGUGAUCGGCCACACGGGAGCUGAGCCGGGGUCCAGACGACUGAGGGAGGCAGCAGUAGGGAAUCGGCCGCAAUGGGCGAAAGCCUUACGGAGCAACGGCGCGUGAGUGAUGAAGGUGUUCGGAGCGUAAAACACUGUUAUGAGUGAAGAACAGAUGUGGAAGGUACUGUGCACAUCGUGACGGUACUUAAUCAGAAAGCCACGGCUAACUACGUG
rnacentral:rRNA from 1 species